rnacentral:rRNA from 1 species
GUCGAGAAUCUUUCACAAUGGGGGCAACCCUGAUGGAGCGACGCCGCGUGGAGGAUAAGGUCUUCGGAUUGUAAACUCCUGUCAUGCGUGAACAAGGUUGCUUGGUUAAUACCUGGGCAAAUUGAUGGUAACGCAAGAGGAAGAGACGGCUAACUCUGUGCCAGCAGCCGCGGUAAUACAGAGGUCUCAAGCGUUGUUCGGAAUCACUGGGCGUAAAGGGUGCGUAGGUGGCGUGGUAAGUCAGAUGUGAAAGCCCGGGGCUCAACCUCGAAACUGCAUCCGAUACUGCCAUGCUAGAGUACUGGAGAGGUGACUAGAAUUCUCGGUGUAGCAGUGAAAUGCGUAGAUAUCGAGAGGAAUACCAAAGGCGUAGGCAGGUCACUGGACAGUUACUGACACUGAGGCACGAAGGCCAGGGGAGCGAACGGGAUUAGAAACCCUUGUAGUCC